CACUAGUCAACAUGCACAAGCAGGCUCUGGUCAGGACAGCAGAUGGCUAAAGGCAGUUGGUCUAAGGAAGUACAGGAUGUCGUCAUUCAACAAGGAUCAUCAAACAACCAGUUUGCUCCCUCGGUGGGUGAAGAGAGGAAGCUAAAGACAUCCUUCCACGGUCAUUGCUCCUCUACUGUUUCUGUGAACAAGGCCCAGUUGGACACCAGAUUCUCCAAUAUUCAUGCAAGUUUAUCUAAUUCUUCUUUGCUAUUAGCACGCAUUCAUUUGACAAGGGCGUGUUGCUAUGCAGCUCUGAGCUGUAGUAAGGGGCUGGAGCCGACCCCUGAUCAAUCCUAACAGCCUAGGUAUGAUUGGGAAGGAGGCUGUGGAAUCCAAAGGUUUCUGCCAAGAGGAGAAGAAUGCAGAUUAUCCUGUGCACAACCUUGACAAUUAUGCAGUAUUUUAUUCACUAUUGCUAUUACUACAGUGCCCCACUUGGACCCAAUAUCUUAAAAGCCACUGAAAUAAGCAGGUUUGGUCCUCUUUGAACAAAAAAAAAAGCAAAAAUGAGAACAAAUGUGAUUAUGAGCCCACUGGUGAUGUCAGCAACUGCAGUACCAUUACUAGUUUCUAAUGUCGGGCUUGGACUGGAUUCCACAUGUUCGUAAUUUCAAAAGAAAACCUGAGGGCAUCAGCUCUUAUCCUGAACCGUAGACACAUAAUACAGCUGCGUGAAAGUAACUAGAUCUGCUAGAACAGUAAUUUCCUAAGACUAACAGUAUUAGUAGAAAUAAGUCUAUCCAUUAUGAAUGAGAAAAAUGAAUUUGUAAUUCACAUGAAACUGUAUAAAGUGCUCCAAAGAUAUUUAUUUAAUAAAGCAGCUUAUUGAUGUCUGGGACUGAAAUCUGAAAAGCCUACUCAGUUGUGGGACGAUGUGGCUCAGAUGGUAGACUGGCUGGGCCAGCUACU